AGGGUGAAGAUGAGGAUUCAAUAGAUUAGAUGAAGGGAUGGAGAUCUUAUCAUAAUGGUGAUAUGGAUCAAGAUAAUUAAGACUCUCGAUAGUGAAUGAAGGGGAAGAGGGCAAAGAAGAGUAUAGUAGGGGAGGUGCUUUUUUACAUCUAGAUGGUGGCCAAGAGUAGAAUCCCCUUUGAUUAGGUUUGGAGUUAGAACA
rnacentral:lncRNA from 1 species